rnacentral:rRNA from 1 species
UACAGAGGUCUCAAGCGUUGUUCGGAUUCAUUGGGCGUAAAGAGCUCGUAGGCGGCUCGUUGCGUCGGCUGUGAAAACCCGCAGCUCAACUGUGGGCUUGCAGCCGAUACGGGCGGGCUGGAGUUCGGUAGGGGAGACUGGAAUUCCUGGUGUAGCGGUGAAAUGCGCAGAUAUCAGGAGGAACACCCGUGGCGAAAGCGGCUCUCUGGGACGGUACUGACGCUGAGACGCGAAAGCGUGGGGAGCAAACAGG